GCACGGCUAACUCAGCGGGAGAGUGCCACCUUGACGUGGUGGAGGUCCAAGGUUCAAACCCUUGGCCGUGUA
rnacentral:tRNA from 1 species